GCCAGGCACGGUGGCGCACGCCUGUAGUCCCAGCUACUCGGGAGGCUGAGACAGGAGGAUCGCUUGAGUCCAGGAGUUCUGGGCUGUAGUGUGCUAUGCCAAUAGGGUGUCCGCACUGGGUUUGACAUCAAUACAGUGACCUCCUGGGAGCGGGGGACCACCAGGUUGCCCAAGGAGGAGUGAACCAGGUCAAAAGAAAUCAGAAACGUAAUUACCGGUAUCCGAUGAUGAAACUGAAGCACGUCUACCGAAAAAGCCGAAAAUACAACAUAAUGCCAAUAGCAGCUACUCCCUACUUU
rnacentral:sRNA from 1 species